GUCUUCGUGGUGUAAUGGUCAGCACACUCGGCGAAUAUGCGAGAAGUCUGAGGUUCGAGUCCCAGCGAGGGCA
rnacentral:tRNA from 1 species